UACGUAGGGUGCAAGCGUUAAUCGGAAUUACUGGGCGUAAAGCGUGAGCAGGCGGUUAUGUAAGUCAGAUGUGAAAUCCCCGGGCUCAACCUGGGAACGGCAUUUGAGACUGCAUAGCUAGAGUGUGUCAGAGGGGGGUAGAAUUCCACGUGUAGCAGUGAAAUGCGUAGAGAUGUGGAGGAACACCGAUGGCGAAGGCAGCCCCCUGGGAUAACACUGACGCUCAUGCACGAAAGCGUGGGGGGCAAACAGG
rnacentral:rRNA from 1 species